rnacentral:rRNA from 1 species
GGCCUACUUUUUUUUGUGCGGGUGCAUGCAUGUCGAGCGGUUAGGCCCUUCCGGGUACACGAGCGGCGAACGGGUGAGUAACACGUGGGUGAUCUGCCCUGCACUCUGGGAUAAGCCUGGGAAACUGGGUCUAAUACCGGAUAUGACCUCUGGUUGCAUGACCGGGGGUGGAAAGAUUUAUCGGUGCAGGAUGGGCCCGCGGCCUAUCAGCUUGUUGGUGGGGUAAUGGCCUACCAAGGCGACGACGGGUAGCCGGCCUGAGAGGGCGACCGGCCACACUGGGACUGAGACACGGCCCAGACUCCUACGGGAGGCAGCAGUGGGGAAUAUUGCACAAUGGGCGGAAGCCUGAUGCAGCGACGCCGCGUGAGGGAUGACGGCCUUCGGGUUGUAAACCUCUUUCGACAGGGACGAAGCGCAAGUGACGGUACCUGUAGAAGAAGCACCGGCCAACUACGUGCCAGCAGCCGCGGUAAUACGUAGGGUGCGAGCGUUGUCCGGAAUUACUGGGCGUAAAGAGCUUGUAGGCGGCUUGUCGCGUCGAUCGUGAAAACUUGGGGCUCAACCCCAAGCUUGCGGUCGAUACGGGCAGGCUUGAGUACUGCAGGGGAGACUGGAAUUCCUGGUGUAGCGGUGAAAUGCGCAGAUAUCAGGAGGAACACCGGUGGCGAAGGCGGGUCUCUGGGCAGUAACUGACGCUGAGAAGCGAAAGCGUGGGUAGCGAACAGGAUUAGAUACCCUGGUAGUCCACGCCGUAAACGGUGGGCGCUAGGUGUGGGUUUCCUUCCACGGGAUCCGUGCCGUAGCUAACGCAUUAAGCGCCCCGCCUGGGGAGUACGGCCGCAAGGCUAAAACUCAAAGGAAUUGACGGGGGCCCGCACAAGCGGCGGAGCAUGUGGAUUAAUUCGAUGCAACGCGAAGAACCUUACCUGGGUUUGACAUACACCGGAAACCUGCAGAGAUGUAGGCCCCCUUGUGGUCGGUGUACAGGUGGUGCAUGGCUGUCGUCAGCUCGUGUCGUGAGAUGUUGGGUUAAGUCCCGCAACGAGCGCAACCCUUGUCCUGUGUUGCCAGCAAGUGAUGUUGGGGACUCGCAGGAGACUGCCGGGGUCAACUCGGAGGAAGGUGGGGACGACGUCAAGUCAUCAUGCCCCUUAUGUCCAGGGCUUCACACAUGCUUCAAUGGCCGGUACAGAGGGCUGCGAUACCGUGAGGUGGAGCGAAUCCCUUAAAGCCGGUCUCAGUUCGGAUCGGGGUCCGCAACUCGACCCCGGAAGUUGGAGUCGCUAGUAAUCGCAGAUCAGCAAGCCCCAGAAGUA